UAUAACAGCGGGUAUACUGUAUGCAACAUACAGUAUACCCACUGUAUAUUGCAUACAGUGUGCAUACUGUAUUG